AUUGAACGCUGGCGGCAGGCCUAACACAUGCAAGUCGAACGAGUGGCGGAUGGGUGAGUAAUGUCUGGGGAUCUGCCUGAUGGAGGGGGAUAACUACUGGAAACGGUAGCUAAUACCGCAUACCAUCCGAUGGACCCAUAUGGGAUUAGCUAGUAGGUAAGGUAAAGGCUUACCUAGGCGACGAUCCCUAGCUGGUCUGAGAGGAUGAUCGGCCACACUGGGACUGAGACACGGCCCAGACUCCUACGGGAGGCAGCAGUGGGGAAUAUUGCACAAUGGGCGAAAGCCGGAUGCAGCCAUGCCGCGUGUAUGAAGAAGGCCUUCGGGUUGUAAAGUACUUUCAGUCGGGAGGCGUUACCUACAGAAGAAGCACCGGCUAACUCCGUGCCAGCAGCCGCGGUAAUUC
rnacentral:rRNA from 1 species